UUUUUCCCAAUUUUCCCCUCCAAAAUCCUGAGCAAAAUGUGAGAUUGGAAAAAAUUUUCCCUGCCUCAAAUUCCCAUUUUUUCCAAUUUUCCCCUCCAAAAUCCUGAGCAAAAUGUGAGCUUGGAAAAAAUUUUCCCUGCCUCAAAUUCCCAUUUUUUUCCCCAAUUUUCCCCUCCAAAAUCCUGAGCAAAAUGUGAGGUUGGAAAAAAUUUUCCCUGCCUCAAAUUCCCAUUUUUUUCCCAAUUUUCCCCUCCAAAAUCCUGAGCAAAAUGUGAGGUUGGAAAAAAUUUUCCCUGCCUCAAAUUCCCAUUUUUUCCCCUUUUUUCCCUCAAUUUUCCCCUCCCACAUCAUGCACCACGAGCACAAAAUGUGAGGUUGGAAAAAUCCCCCAUAAACCUCAAAUUCCCAUUUUUUUCCCCCAUCCUUAGGGCAUGGAACUGUUGGGUUGUGUUGUUUUUUAUUAUUUUUAUUUUUUCUUUUCUACUCCUUUGCACUGACUUUGGCUAUAUAAAAAAAAAAAAAAAAAACCAAAACAAAAAUUAUUUAAAAACAACAACAAAAAAAAAAACCCAAAAAACCAGAAACUCACCCCAAAAACCCAACUGACCCCGCCCAGGGGGAGCCCUUAAUUCUCCUUUUUAUAAACAAACUUAUUUAAAUAUUGAAUAGGAAAAGA